AUUGAACGCUGGCGGCGUGCUUAACACAUGCAAGUCGAUCGGUAACGCGGGGGCAACCCUGGCGACGAGAGGCGGACGGGUGAGGAACGCUUGGGAAUCUGCCUAUCAGCGGGGGACAACACGGGGAAACUCGUGCUAAUACCGCAUACGCUCUACGGAGGAAAGCCGGGGACCGCAAGGCCUGGCACUGAUAGAUGAGCCCAAGCCGGAUUAGCUAGUUGGCGGGGUAACGGCCAACCAAGGCGACGAUCCGUAGUUGGUCUGAGAGGACGAUCAGCCACACUGGGACUGAGACACGGCCCAGACUCCUACGGGAGGCAGCAGUGGGGAAUAUUGGACAAUGGGGGAAACCCUGAUCCAGCGACGCCGCGUGGGUGAAGAAGGCCUGCGGGUUGUAAAGCCCUUUCGGUAGGGAAGAAAUCUCUUGUCUUAACACGGCAAGGGUUUGACUUAACCUACAUAAGAAGCACCGGCUAACUCUGUGCCAGCAGCCGCGGUAAUAC
rnacentral:rRNA from 1 species